AACGGAAAGGCCCUGCUUGCAGGGUACUCGAGUGGCGAACGGGCGAGUAACACGUGGGUGAUCUGCCCUGCACUUCGGGAUAAGCUUGGGAAACUGGGUCUAAUACCGGAUAGGAGCCAUCUUUAGUGUGGUGGCUGGAAAGUUUUUUCGGUGUAGGAUGAGCUCGCGGCCUAUCAGCUUGUUGGUGGGGUAAUGGCCUACCAAGGCGGCGACGGGUAGCCGGCCUGAGAGGGUGUACGGCCACAUUGGGACUGAGAUACGGCCCAGACUCCUACGGGAGGCAGCAGUGGGGAAUAUUGCACAAUGGGCGCAAGCCUGAUGCAGCGACGCCGCGUGGGGGAUGAAGGCCUUCGGGUUGUAAACUCCUUUCGCUAGGGACGAAGCUUUUUUGUGACGGUACCUAGAUAAGAAGCACCGGCUAACUACGUGCCAGCAGCCGCGGUAAUACGUAGGGUGCGAGCGUUGU
rnacentral:rRNA from 1 species